rnacentral:rRNA from 1 species
UUGUUGGUGGGGUAACGGCCUACCAAGGCGACGACGGGUAGCCGGCCUGAGAGGGCGACCGGCCACACUGGGACUGAGACACGGCCCAGACUCCUACGGGAGGCAGCAGUGGGGAAUAUUGCGCAAUGGGCGAAAGCCUGACGCAGCGACGCCGCGUGGGGGAUGAAGGCCUUCGGGUUGUAAACCCCUUUCAGCAGGGACGAAGCGAAAGUGACGGUACCUGCAGAAGAAGCGCCGGCUAACUACGUGCCAGCAGCCGCGGUAACACGUAGGGCGCAAGCGUUGUCCGGAAUUAUUGGGCGUAAAGAGCUCGUAGGCGGUCUGUUGCGUCCGCUGUGAAAUCUCGGGGCUUAACCCCGAGCCUGCAGUGGAUACGGGCAGACUAGAGGUAGGUAGGGGAGAAUGGAAUUCCCGGUGUAGCGGUGAAAUGCGCAGAUAUCGGGAGGAACACCGGUGGCGAAGGCGGUUCUCUGGGCCUUACCUGACGCUGAGGAGCGAAAGCGUGGGGAGCGAACAGGAUUAGAUACCCUGGUAGUCCACGCUGUAAACGUUGGGCGCUAGGUGUGGGAUCCUUCCACGGAUUCCGUGCCGCAGCUAACGCAUUAAGCGCCCCGC